rnacentral:lncRNA from 10 species
GCAAACAGGAGGGAACGAAGAAGGAAAGGAAUAAUAUAACAAAGCAGAGACUUGGAAGAGGAAGGAUACAGUUAUUCCCAAGCAGAGUUGCAGAGAAAGGGUGGGAAUCAAAAAGAGGAGGGAAUCUCAGCACACCCCAAACUUAGGCUAAAUGGUAACAGACAUUUGAUAGAGGGCUUUAAAUUUAAAAACCAACACACAAACAAACAAACAAACAGAAAUAAAAACAAACAACAACAACAAAAAAAAAACCCUUAAUGUAGGAAGAGAAAACAGAAGAGACAAGAAACCAAUUGGAGCAAAGUUACAUUCCCCCAAAUUUAUCGGAAGCGGAAGCUCCCAGGAAGAGAUCUGUGAGUACCAUGGACUACACUGGCUGGAAAAGUGACAUUCCCCCAAAUUCAUCAGAAGUGGACCCGGAAGAGAUCGAAUGAUGGCGAUGGAAGAACAAGGUGCUUCUGGAUGGAAUUCCACAACGACCUGGUAGCCACGUUUGGAAAGCACACAUUUUCCAUGGAGGUGACUCCCUGAGCUACACUUUGGCAUGAUGAAUGGAUCUCCAAUGCUCCAGCAGCCUCAUCCGCAACGGCAAAUAUUCAGUGCAUCCUUACAGCUCUUUGCAGAACCUGCCAACAUGUUGACGAAAUAUGUGGUUUAUAAUAAACUCAUUAGCCUUUUUAUCUAAAAUUGAGGCUGGGCACGUUGGUUCACACCUGUCAUCCCAGAACUUUUGGAGGCUGAGGUGAGAGAAUCUCUUGAGCCCAAGAGUUCAAGACUGCAGUGAGCUAAGAUCACGCCAUUGUACUCCAUCCUGGUGACAGAGGGAGGCCCUGUUUCUACAAUACAUUUAAAAUAAAUAA